rnacentral:rRNA from 1 species
CAGUCGCCACGGUAAUACGUAUGUCACAAGCGUUAUCCGGAUUUAUUGGGCGUAAAGCGCGUCUAGGUGGUUAUGUAAGUCUGAUGUGAAAAUGCAGGGCUCAACCCUGUAUUGCGUUGGAAACUGUGUAACUAGAGUACUGGAGAGGUAAGCGGAACUACAAGUGUAGAGGUGAAAUUCGUAGAUAUUUGUAGGAAUGCCGAUGGGGAAGCCAGCUUACUGGACAGAUACUGACGCUAAAGCGCGAAAGCGUGGGUAGCAAACAGGAUUAGAUACCCCGGUAGUCCCUGUCUCUUAUACA